GUAAAUUUGGUGAAAAAGUGAUAUGAUUUGAUAUGUGGAGAAGAUUUAUUUUCCUACUUUCUUUAUGUUAAGGGUCUGUACAGUGAGUGUCUUUUUCUUUUGUUAGGGUAAAGUACCAAAGAAUAGUUCAUAAUAUACCAACUUCAAGGAUCUUUCUCAAGGAGCCAAGGGGAGGCAACCCCCUGGCUCCACCCUUGAGUCCAACAACAGUAGAUCAAGAGGGAGAGACUCAAAUUUCGCUUUUGUUUGUAAAAUUCUGUUAAGAGAAAAGACAAUGUGAUCUGUGGAUGUUGAGUACUUUUAAUCAGUUAUUCAGAAUAUUGUAACUAGCUUUAGCUCUUCCACAUGUUGUUGUUUUAAUGUGGUUGUUCAACAAUUAAAAUGUUUUUGCUAAUGUGUUAAAGGUCCUUUCUACACAUAUCUCGCUUUGCUUAUCGAACUAUUGCUACUUGUUGUGGCCAAUAAGGCAGUUGCUUUGAACCAGCUAUGUUGGAUAUGCUUAACAAGCUCCGGUUUCACAAUUUUAACUGAAAUCAUGUUUUAAAAACAUAAUUUAAAAAAUGAGUGUGUAUAGGGUGUGGAAUAAUGAGUGCGAAAUAAGAUUUUCCGUUAUAUAUACAUUGCUAAACAAAGGAGUCAGCUUGAAGAAAGUUGGAAGUGGGUUUGUUGUAACAUGACAAGAACAUUAAGUUUCUCUGCAUGGCAAGGCAAAGAAUGUUGUUAGCAAGAGAAAGCUAGUCAAGAAGGUUGAUUUGCUGAGGCUAGACAUGGCUGACAUAAACAACCUCAAGGAGAUGAUAGUUUUGGCAAUUCACACUGGAAAAAUCUACUUUGUUGUUGAGGUUGUGAAUAAUAUCUCUGCUGAGAGUCCUUUUGGUGGAAACACUGACAAUGCCUCAUCAAAAUAUGACAUUUUCAGAGUACUUCAACAAAAAGUAAGUGAUUUCUUAUCCUGAAUGAUGUUUUGAGCUUAUUGUGUAUUUUUCCCUUUCGAUUCCUCUAUAUAGUUCCAUAGAUAACUCCUGUCAUGACUUCUAAGUGUCUAACACACUUUGUCUUCUAUCCCAUCCUGAAUCUGAGCUAAAUACAAUACAUCAAACAAGGCAUUUACAUACUACAGUUUUCUCAAUCAUGCACCUACCUGCCUCACAACACCGGGUUCCUUGCACUACGCCACCCUUAACCUCCAUAUAGUAGCUCACCUUGUCAGGUACAUGGAUCUCUAUCAUUGAACACAGCCUCCAAUGCUUUUUAGUGAGUUCUAGGGUUGAAUUGGUGCCAAGGGUAAAAGAAAACAAUGGAAAAUGAAAAAGACAUUGCAGAUGGCUCCAAAAAUAUUGGGAAAAUCACUGCAAAUAUCAGGAGGUUCCGGCAAGUCAGAUGGUUUGUUCUUCGGAUUCUGGUGACCUUGUCGGUGCUGACAUUAGCACACCCCUCUCAUUGGAACAUAGCCUCCAGCCUACAAUUACACUUGAUUUGAUCUCUAAACUCAAGCCUACAAACAUCUAUGAUGUGUAUCAAUUUCAAUAUUGAAAUUACUUACUAAAAAAAGAGAUUCAAUAUUGAAAUCUGAGGACACAAGCAGUAAAGAGAAGUAAUCCAUAAAGGUGUAUUCAAAUUAAAUCUAAAAUGGGUCUUUCAUCACUACCUACCGUUUGAAUAUAAGAGGGGAAACACCAUUUGUAGUACCUACAGAUAAACAGCAUAACCUUUUUCACAGCAGUUGAAAGAACUAACAUACUAAUUAUCCAACCAUUAGGCCAAACUAACGUAUCCAAGAAUCAAUAGAAGAUAUCAGGGUGCAUGGAAGCGCUGCGCUUGGUUGGAGUUGCUGCGCUGAAUCUGUUGUAGUUGCUGGUCCAAUUCAUUAGUCCUCGCCUAGAGAAAAUCAAGCAAUUGUCAUCAGGCAAGAGAAAAUUUAGAAAAAAUAGUAUAGUUAAUUCAAUCAAUGAUCCAAUCCAAGUGACCAAUGAAGGAAGACUAAAUGCACAAUUUUUUAUGAAUACAAAAUUCUUUCAAAUGCAACACAAUAUAGCCACAGAACACUCUGCUGCUGACAUGGUAAACAUGGCUGAAAUUCUGUCCAAAUAUAAGAUCAUAUACUUGAGUCAUGAAAUUAUGGGGUUUGUGAGCUAUACCUCUAAAUGCGAUGCCAGUUGUUGCUCACGUACAUACGCUGCCUGAAGAAGUUCUACAAUUUGCUGCAAAAAUUUUAAAACAGCUAAAAAAAUUGAACCGUAUAUACCUCCUGCUAAGUGCUAAUGUUGUUCAAAUAAUCCUUAAAGAACAGCACAAAUUAAGAUAGAUCUCUUCAUGCCUAUAACUUAUCCCUUUUGAAAACACUUUGAUGGACACAAGUUUCUUCCUGUACAUCAACAUCAUCUAGUAUUGGGAAAUUCACAAUAAAUAAAAUAAAGCCUCAAAAGGAAACAAACCAUUCUUAUAUUUAAGGGUAAAAUACAAUUUACUCUAUUGUAGUUUGACUUUAUUUCAAUUUAAUACACUAACUUUCAAAUGUUACAAA